rnacentral:rRNA from 1 species
UACGGGGGGGGGUAAGCGUUGUUCGGAAUUACUGGGCGUAAAGGGCUCGUAGGCGGCCAACUAAGUCAGACGUGAAAUCCCUCAGCUUAACUGGGGAACUGCGUCUGAUACUGGAUGGCUUGAGUUCGGGAGAGGGAUGCGGAAUUCCAGGUGUAGCGGUGAAAUGCGUAGAUAUCUGGAGGAACACCGGUGGCGAAGGCGGCUCUCUGGGACGGUACUGACGCUGAGACGCGAAAACGUGGGGAGCGAACAGG